AAAAAGCUCGUAGUUGGAUUUGUGGUGGGCCCGGUGGCUCGGCCUUAGUUGGCCGUUGCUGUUUGUCCCGCCAUCCUUGGGUGGAAUCAGUGUGGCAUUAAGUUGUCGCGCUGGGGAUGCCCAUCGUUUACUGUGAAAAAAUUAGAGUGUUCAAAGCAGGCUUACGCCGUUGAAUAUAUUAGCAUGGAAUAAUGAGAUAGGACCUUGGUACUAUUUUGUUGGUUUGCGCACCGAGGUAAUGAUUAAUAGGGACAGUUGGGGGUAUUCGUAUUCCAUUGUCAGAGGUGAAAUUCUUGGAUUUCUGGAAGACGAACUACUGCGAAAGCAUUUACCAAGGAUGUUUUCAUUAAUCAAGAACGAAAGUUAG
rnacentral:rRNA from 1 species